rnacentral:rRNA from 1 species
AGCGAACGCUGGCGGAAUGCUUAACACAUGCAAGUCGCACGGGGGCUUCGGCCUUAGUGGCGGACGGGUGAGUAACGCGUAGGAACGUGUCUUGGGGGUGGGGGAUAACGCUGGGAACUGGCGCUAAUACCGCAUGUCUGCUGUGGCAGAAAGCCUUCGGGUGCCUUGAGAGCGGCCUGCGUCCGAUUAGCUAGUUGGUGGGGUAAAGGCUUACCAAGGCGACGAUCGGUAGCNGGUCUGAGAGGACGAUCAGCCACACUGGAC